rnacentral:lncRNA from 1 species
GCGGUGGUAAACAAAACGCCCAACCCUACUACUCCACCGCCAGCGUCUCUAUGGGACCAGCUUCCGGAGCCCCUUCACCUCACCGAACGCAAAUCCCUCCGCGUUCGCGUCACUUCCGGGAGACUCUGGUGGCGACUCCACGAAAUACCCGGAUGUAACUAUGAUGGCUGCCAUCAGUGGGGGAUCGCAGUGGAGUUCGAGUCAAGAGCUGCCCGGAAAGCGCUCAGAGUUGGGGCUUCAAGGAGGCCUGUCAAAGAACAAAAGAUGAGAUUACUGGGGCGGCAAGGUGCCCCAAACGGCCUGGGAACUGCGCCUCCGCACUUCCUGUUAACUUGCCGCCAAGUUUUUCUAGAGGAGUCGCUCCUUUUGGCCGGGUAGAUCUACUGGGUUCUUGGCACAGUACCAUAUGGACCUGGGCAAAGCAUUGUUAAGGUGGAAAUUUUUAUUGUAUUAAUC